AUGGGGCCCUCUCCGUCGCCGCCGCAGCCGCCACCGCCGCUUCCGGCGACCGGCCGCCUCCUCGUGCUCUACGCGUCGCAGACCGGCAACGCCAUGGACGCCGCCGAACGUGUUGGGCGCGAGGCCGAGCGCGGUGGCUGCCCGGCCGUCGACGUCCUCUCCAUGGACAGCUUCGACCCCAGUUGCUUGCCGGGCGAAAGGUCCGUGGUGUUCGUCGUGUCCACCACGGGUCAGGGCGAUCCCCCGGAUUCCAUGAAGGGGUUUUGGAGGUACCUUCUUAAGAAGGACCUUGGUGCCAGGUGGCUGGAAGGACUCCGUUUUGCCGUAUUUGGGCUCGGUGAUUCGGGCUACCAGAAGUACAAUUUACCUGCAAAGAAGAUCGAUAGAAGGCUUUUACAACUUGGUGCAGAAAUAAUCAUAGAGAUAGGCUUGGGAGAUGAUCAGCACCCUUCAGGAUAUGAAGGAGCUCUAGAUCCUUGGUUGCUGUCUUUGUGGGAAUCGCUGAAUAAAGCAAAUCCAUCACUUCUACCAAGAAUAACUGAUAUCAUUAAUCCUAAUUUGAAUUAUUUGGGGGAUUCAAAGAUCGAAGUCAUAUAUUACUCUUGCAAUGAUGCCCCUCCAGAUUCCGUUGUUUCAGACUCCAAGAAAUUAAUCGAGAGAGCACGCUUAAUGUCCCCUGCUCUGAAGUUCCAUAGUGAUGGAGAGCCACAAUACAUGUUAAAGAUGGUAACAAAUCAGCGUUUGACUAAGGAGGAUUAUGAGAAAGAUGUGCGCCACUUUGAAUUGGAAGAUCCAUCUUCUGCGAUCAGCUAUCAAGUUGGCGACGCGUUAGAAAUUCUACCAAGUCAGAAUCCAUCAGCUGUUAAUGCUUUCAUUGAACGCUGUAACUUGGAUCCAGAUUCUUACAUAACGAUUAGAGCAAAGGGAGGGGAUGAAGUUUCCAACGGUUCACUUUUGAAUGGCUCGAUGGGUCGCAUCAAGUUAAGCACCUUUGUUGCUUUGACAAUGGAUGUUGCAUCAGGUUCCCCUCGUCGGUAUUUCUUUGAGAUCAUGAGCCAUUUUGCAACAGCUGAACAUGAAAAGGAAAGGCUUCAGUAUUUUGCUUCUCCUGAAGGUAGAGAUGACCUCUACCAGUACAAUCAAAAGGAGAGUCGGACUGUUCUAGAAGUAUUGGAGGAUUUUCCCUCGGUGCACAUGCCUUUUGAAUGGCUGGUGCAACUAACUCCUCCAUUGAAGAAACGGGCCUUUUCCAUAUCAUCAUCGCCAUUAGUACAUCCAAAUCAGAUACACUUGACUGUUAGUAUUGUAUCAUGGCUUACUCCUUUCAAGAGGACAAGGCAGGGUCUCUGCUCCACAUGGCUGGCAGGUCUCAAUCCAAAUGAAGAAAAUCUUAUACCAUGUUGGGUACACAAAGGAUCCCUGCCUCCUCCAAAGCCAUCGAUUCCUCUUCUACUUAUUGGACCAGGAACAGGAUGUGCACCAUUUCGAGCAUUUGUGGAGGAAAGGGCUGCACAGAGUGCGAGAGAAUCAACAGCUCCCAUUCUGUUCUUUUUCGGCUGUAGAAAUGAAGACAACGAUUUUCUAUACAAGGACUUCUGGUUGAAGCAUGCCCAGGACAAGGGAGUGCUGUCCCUGAAAGAAGGCGGUGGUUUCUUUGUUGCUUUUUCCAGGGAUCAGCCUCAAAAGGUCUAUGUACAACACAAGAUAAAGGAGCAGAGUGCAAGAGUGUGGAACAUGUUAUGCUCUGGGGCUGCAAUCUACGUUGCAGGGUCUUCUACCAAAAUGCCUGCUGAUGUUACAGCUGCACUAGAAGAAGUUGUCCGCCAAAAGGGCGGUGAGGCUGCUUCAGGAUGGCUCAGGAAACUGGAAAGGGCUGGUAAAUUUAACAUUGAAACUUGGUCGUAA
rnacentral:rRNA from 1 species